UUGAAUGUUACGACUGAACGAGUUUUCCACUAAGCUACUUGUGCAUGUGCAAAUUUGGAACAAAGCUCAAUCGAAAGUUGUGCAUGCACAGAAUUCUAAACCGUAAUUAAAAAGAAUGGCAAUUGUUACUCAUAACUGAACCUGAACCUGAACUACUAGUAAUAACUAACCACUGAACACUUGACAAUAAUGACACUCACAGUGUUUUGACCUUGAUAUACUAAAACAAUGUACUGAACAAAUCGAAACAAGAUUAGUUAUUCACAUUCGGAUGUACCUGGUUUCCCCCAUCAGAUCAGUGACGAACUUCUGGAAUAAAACCAAACGGUGGACUCCCAUGGAACCGAAAUAGCAUCGACUGAAUCAUACACCGGGCCAGGACCGUCGAGAAAUCGAUUUUGCAGGUAGAAAUCGACUGAAUCAUAGCGACGCACAGAGAGGUAGCUGCAAAAUCAGCGCGACGCAUAAAACCGGUGACGACCGAGAAGAAGAAGACAAGGGGCUGAGAGCAGGGGGGAGGGGAGAAGCUCGCCGUACAGGUCUCGCAGCCAGCGACGACCUGGGGUUUCUCGCCCUCGCGGACCACCGCUCGCUGGUGGCGCGCCCGAUGGGACAGCCCCGUUGGCGUCCUCUCCAUCUCCUUCCUCCCGCUACUUGCCGACUCC
rnacentral:lncRNA from 1 species